rnacentral:rRNA from 1 species
CAGCGGGGGCUUCGGCCUAACACAUGCAAGUCGAGCGAACCCUUCGGGGUUAGCGGCGGGCGGGUUAGUAACGCGUGGGAAUAUACCCUUUGGUACGGAAUAGCCUCGGGAAACUGAGAGUAAUACCGUAUGUGCCCUUCGGGGGAAAGAUUUAUCGCCAAAGGAUUAGCCCGCGUUGGAUUAGAUAGUUGGUGGGGUAAUGGCCUACCAAGUCUACGAUCCAUAGCUGGUUUGAGAGGAUGAUCAGCAACACUGGGACUGAGACACGGCCCAGACUCCUACGGGAGGCAGCAGUGGGGAAUCUUAGACAAUGGGCGCAAGCCUGAUCUAGCCAUGCCGCGUGGACGAUGAAGGCCUUAGGGUUGUAAAGUCCUUUCAGAUGGGAAGAUAAUGACGGUACCAUCAGAAGAAGCCCCGGCUAACUCCGUG